GAUGAACGCUAGCGGCAGGCCUAAUACAUGCAAGUCAAGGGGGCAGCAAUGUCACCGGCGGACGGGUGCGUAACGCGUACAGAACGUGCCUUUGGGCGGGGGAUAGCGUUGGGAAACUGACGGUAAUACCCCAUGGCAUCGGGAACCGGCAUCGGUUUUCGAUUAAAGUUACGGCGCCCAAAGAUCGCUGUGCGUCCGAUUAGCUAGUUGGCGGGGUAACGGCCCACCAAGGCGACGAUCGGUAGGGGGUGUGAGAGCAUGGCCCCCCACACGGGUACUGAGACACGGACCCGACUCCUACGGGAGGCAGCAGUAAGGAAUAUUGGACAAUGGAGGGAACUCUGAUCCAGCCAUGCCGCGUGAAGGACGAAGGCGCUCAGCGUUGUAAACUUCUUUUGAAUGGGAACAAAACACCGGACUUGUCCGGGACUGAGGGUACCAUUAGAAUAAGCACCGGCUAACUCCGUG
rnacentral:rRNA from 1 species